GACGGAGGGUGCAAGCGUUGUUCGGAAUUACUGGGCGUAAAGCGCGGGCAGGUGGCCUUUUAAGUCCUUUGUGAAAUUCCGGAGCUCAACUCCGGAUGUGCAUAGGAUACUGGAAGGCUAGAGACUGGUAGAGGCGAGCGGAAUUCCUGGUGUAGCGGUGGAAUGCGUAGAUAUCAGGAAGAACACCGGUAGCGAAGACGGCUCGCUGGGCCAGUUCUGACACUCAUCCGCGAAAGCGUGGGGAGCAAACAGG
rnacentral:rRNA from 1 species